GGGCUACUAGCUCAGGUGGUAGAGCACUUGACUUUUAAUCAAGUUGUCGGGGGUUCGAGUCCCCCGUGGCUCA
rnacentral:tRNA from 1 species